ensembl:misc_RNA 7SK 7SK RNA
AGAUCUGAAGGCAAUCUGACUGUGGUAUUUGUCGCUCCACUGACCAUGAGGGUUACUGAGCUGAUCUGGAUGGCUAGGAGGGUGUCUCCCCUCUCCCUCAUCGCUUCACCAUUGUGCACUCAGUCGAAGAGGACAGACAUAAAGAAGGACUACUUUUCAGUCAGAGGUAUACAAGUAGCUGUGCUUCUCUGCAAGAACUGCCAAACAAAUGCUCAAGAGGAUCAUGAUCAGGCUGGCCCAGAUAACUCAGGUAUUAACUUACCUGAAUAAAGUCCUAUAUACAAGCUGCUUUUAGCCUUUUUUUUUUG